UGGGGAAUAUUGCACAAUGGGCGCAAGCCUGAUGCAGCCAUGCCGCGUGUGUGAAGAAGGCCUUCGGGUUGUAAAGCACUUUCAGCGGGGAGGAAGGCGUUAAGGUUAAUAACCUUGGCGAUUGACGUUACCCGCAGAAGAAGCACCGGCUAACUCCGUGCCAGCAGCCGCGGUAAUACGGAGGGUGCAAGCGUUAAUCGGAAUUACUGGGCGUAAAGCGCACGCAGGCGGUCUGUCAAGUCGGAUGUGAAAUCCCCGGGCUCAACCUGGGAACUGCAUUCGAAACUGGCAGGCUAGAGUCUUGUAGAGGGGGGUAGAAUUCCAGGUGUAGCGGUGAAAUGCGUAGAGAUCUGGAGGAAUACCGGUGGCGAAGGCGGCCCCCUGGACAAAGACUGACGCUCAGGUGGGAAAGCGUGGGGAGCAAACAGG
rnacentral:rRNA from 1 species